rnacentral:tRNA from 1 species
GCCCCCUUAGCUCAGCAGGAUAGAGCACCGGUUUCCUAAACCGGGUGUCGCACGUUCGAGUCGUGCAGGGGGCGCCA